UUUGUUUGAUAGUAAACGUUUGUGAAUUUACCCUUACGCUCGUAACUCCAACUAGGGAUCGUGUCUUGAACAAUGCUAACGUUUUGGUAUUCGCCUUAAAUUUAAUUUUAUUGGUGAUCUGUCUACUUGCUGCUGCCGUGGUUGGCUCGACAGCCAGAAAAAUAUUUUUUUUUUUUAAUAACAUUUUGUGUUGAGGCAGUAACUGGUGGUCCAUACAUUCAUUACUUGCACUGUCCUAUAAACACAGUGGAGACAGAAGUGUAAAAAAUAAAAUCGAAUCGUG